UCAAGGACUCUUAAAGAGCUGAACUAAGGGGGAGUGCUCUCAGGCUGAAAGGUGACCCAGCCUAUGAAAUUUACAUGCAGCAGAUGAACUUGCCUUUGAUACUCAGGGUAUAUCUUCACUACUGGAUGGAUUGGCGGGCAAUGAUCGAUCCAGCGGGGAUCAAUUUAUCGCAUCUAGUCUAGACACAAUAAAAUUGAUCCCCAAGCGCUCUCCCAUUGACUGCUGUACUCCAACUCAGCAAGAGGCACAGGCAGAGUCGACGGGGAAGUUGCAGCAGUCGACUCACCAUAGUGAAGACACCGUGCUUUACAAAGGGCUUCAAUAAGGGAUUACAAUCUUAAUCUGCUGUUGUGGCUUUGAAGCAUGAUCCUGAAAUUGAAGAUGCAGUUCAACAGUGUGGUGCCAUAAUGCCGAUAAAAAAGAGAGAUACCAAAUUCAGAUUAAUAUGAUCACAUCUUCCAUUUAAUCUGUUCCAUGUAAUAUUUAAAUAGCUAUUUAGAAAACAUCAAAUACAAUAUAGUAUAUGUUACUCGAUUUACAAAUGAGAAUGGUACCAGGAAUAAAGCAGGGUUUGCUUUGACCUAAUGCCCCUAGUACAUGCUACUGAGCAAAAGAACUGAGGAGAGCUGUGACAGCAGGAAGACUGCACAGCUUCUCUGUGUGAGUAAACAUCACUGCUAGUCACCAGUGCAUUGUGUGUGCAUGGCAAGAAACAUGGACUGAUUCUUUGACUGAGGUAA